rnacentral:rRNA from 1 species
GCCUGCCCAGUGACAAAGUUUAACGGCCGCGGUACUCUGACCGUGCGAAGGUAGCAUAAUCACUUGUUCUUUAAUUGAGGACUCGUAUCAACGGCAUCACGAGGGCCACACUGUCUCCUUUUUCCAAUCAGUGAAACUGAUCUCCCCGUGAAGAAGCGGGGAUAAUUCCAUAAGACGAGAAGACCCCAUGGAGCUUUAAACCCAACAGCAACUCUGAAUGACUAAACCACAAAAUUAAUUGAGCCCUGUAAUUGUUGGUUUUAGGUUGGGGUGACCGCGGAGCAUAGACAAACCUCCACGACGAACGGGACUAAACCCUAAUCCAAGAGCCACUACUCUAAGAAUCAAUACACUGACUUCUAAUGAUCCGACCACUCGAUCAACGAACCAAGUUACCCUGGGGAUAACAGCGCUAUCCACUUCAAGAGCUCCUAUCGACAAGUGGGUUUACGACCUCGAUGUUGGAUCAGGGUAUCCUAGUGGUGCAGCCGCUACUAAAGGUUUGUUUGUUCAACAAUUAAAACCCUACGUGAUCUGAGUUCAGACCGGA